rnacentral:rRNA from 1 species
UACGGGGGGGGCAAGCGUUGUUCGGAAUUACUGGGCGUAAAGGGCGCGUAGGUGGUCAGACUAAGUCAGAUGUGAAAUUUCUGGGCUUAACCCAGACGGGUCAUUUGAUACUGGUCGACUAGAGUGUGGAAGGGGUUACUGGAAUUCCUGGUGUAGCGGUGAAAUGCGUAGAUAUCAGGAGGAACACCGGAGGCGAAGGCGGGUAACUGGGCCAACACUGACACUGAGGCGCGAAAGCUAGGGGAGCAAACAGG